UUCCCAAGCGUUGAUGCAUCUACUUGUAUUCUUCUAACAUGGCAAAUAGGUUGUACCAUGGCAGAAGAAUACAGGUAGAUGCAUCAACGCGCAUUGAU
rnacentral:pre_miRNA from 1 species